AGACACUAUUGAGGUUCGAAUGCCCGCAGUCUUCUGUCUCAGAGCUCUCUCACUCUCCGCACAGAGCAAAAAUGGCUGCCCCAAUUUUAAUUUCCAAUUUUACCCUCGCAGGAAUCCUCUAUUUCCUCCUCCUCUCCUCCGCCGUCUCCCCUCUCAACGUCACCCAUCUCCUCGCCGCCUUCCCCGAUCUCUCCGACUUCAAUGCUCUCCUCACCUCCACCGCCGUCGCCGCCGAUCUCUCCGCCCGCUCCUCCCUCACUCUCCUCGUCGUCCCCAACGGUUACCUCCACACCGACUCUCUAUCUCCGACCAACCUCCCCGACGUCCUCCGCUACCACGUCCUCCUCCAGUUCCUCUCCCUCGCCGACCUCCGCCAGAUUCCUCCCUCCGGCAAGCUCGUCGCGACGCUGUUCCAGACGACCGGCCGCGCGGCGGAGAAUGGCGGUACGGUGAAUAUCACCGCCGGCGCAUCCUCCGCCGCCGUCGAAUUCCAUUCCCCUUCCUCGAACGCGACGCUCCUGUCUCAAAUCGAAACCCUACCUUACAACAUCUCGAUCCUCUCCCUCAAUUCCCUCCUGAUUCCGGAGAAUCUCGAUCUCAUGGCGUCGGAGACGCGGCCGCCGCUCGGAUUGAACAUCACCAAAGCCCUAAUCGACGGCCACAGCUUCAAUGUCGCCGCAUCUAUGCUCGCCGCCUCCGGCGUCGUCUCGGAAUUCGAAGCCGCCGAGACCGGCGCCGGAAUCACUGUCCUCGCCCCUACCGACGCAGCCUUCGCCGAUCUACCUUCCUCCGUCAAAUUCCAGUCCCUACCGGCGGACAAAAAGGCCUUCGUCCUCAGGUACCACGUCCUCCAUUCCUACUACCCCUUAGGAACUCUCGAGAAGAUCGUGAACCCUAUCUACCCCACCCUCGCCACAGAGCAAAACCAAGCCGGUCAGUUCACCGUCAACAUCUCCCGAGUUAACGGCUCCGUCGCCAUCGACACCGGAAUCGUCCAAGCUUCAAUUACGCAAACGGUUUUCGAUCAGAAGCCGGUAGCAAUUUUCGGAGUCUCCAAAGUCUUACUCCCGAAGGAAUACUUCGGAAACAAUCCAAUCGAAAUCGGCGACGGCGGCGGCGGCGGAGCGCUUUCCUCACCUGCCCCGCCGCCUGACGCCGAAUCCCCAAUAAAUUCUCCGGUGACUUUCGCUCCGCCGAGCCGUCUAUCCUCGCCGCCGGGCUUGCAGAUCGGAAAGGGGAGGAGAAUGUGGAUGAUUAAUUUGAGUUGGUUGUGUAUAGGAUUGUCAUUAUCUUCUUCUGUGUUGCUAUAGCUAUGAGACUACUACUGGUUCAUCGAAUUCAAUCGAUCAUUUUUUGUAACACUAGAGAUGGAGAUUUCAUUUGAUUUGAUUUGAUUCUCUGCAGAGGCAGGGGAGGAGGCAGCCAUUGUUGAGCUUGGAAGUUCAUCAUUCUUGAGGUCAAAUAUCCUUAAAUAAGGACCGCCGAGGGGUUAGACGCAGAGUUUACGAAACUACGAGAAAGUUUGACGCAGUUUUAGAAGUAUAGGGGAUUUGGCGCAAUUUUAUGAAACCACCGGUAAGUUUUGUGCAAUUUAGCCAAAAUUUUAGUUUAAGUUUGGUAUUAAAAUAAUUUCUGAGAAAAAAAAAAUAUACUCCCUCUGUCCCAUAUCUAUGUAUUUGUUUGCUUUUUCCACGGAGUUUUAGAAAUAUUAGUAUUAUAUUGGCAUAUAGUAGGAAUAAAGUGGAAAUGACUAAAAUGACCUUAUUAGUAUUAUGUGAUAUAAAGGUAAUGACAUUUGUGUAAUAUACUGUAAGAGUAUUUGUAAUGUUAGGUAGAUGGUAAAGUUACUACAAAAUGAAUACUUUGUUCUGGGACCGACCAAAAUGAAAAAAUAGAUAGAAAAAUGGAUAGAUUGUUAAGUAACGGAGGGAGUAUUAUUUUUGCGAAACUCAAAUUUCAAAUAAUAGAAAUCCUCGGGUGUAAAGAAACACACUCGAAACGUUGGUUGUAUGUAUGUAUAUAUAUAUAUACAUUCCAUGGGAUCCUCUUCCAAAAAUAAAUCAUAUUUCUCUGUUUUCACACACAUAAUAUAUAUAAUAUAUACAUACAUGUGUAUAUAUACACAUUAGGUGUGUGGGGUAGGGGAUAGGGUGUAUUAAUAGGAUAGAUGAUCCGGUCUAACAUAUAUAUAUAUAUAUAUAUUAAGGUGUUUUUGUUAUGAGGUAUAAUAGAUUGUGAAAGCACUAUUGAAUGAUAUUUUUGUUGUAUUUGCAUGUGGUUUCAAUAAUACUUACUCUGUACUAGUUAUAUGUAAUUAUUUGUUUUUUGUAUUUUAUUUUAGUAUAUUAGUAUUUUAUAGAUAUUUGUAUAAUAAAAAGAUAAAUAAAUAAUAUUGUCCUUAAACCGAUUUAUUUUUUAAUGAUAUUAUUUGUAAUAUUGUGUAGAAUAGAGGGAUAUUUGUUCUUUGCUGUUUUUUGUCACUCUGCUGAUCGAUCCCGAAAGUAUAUAUAUAUAUAUGUAUUCUUUUAGUUGUGAAUUGAUAUGGAAUAAAAAUU